UUAUGGCUCAGAACGAACGCUGGCGGCAUGGAUUAGGCAUGCAAGUCGAACGAGGUAGCAAUACCGAGUGGCGGAAGGGUGAGGAACGCGUGAGCAAUCUGCCCUCCAGUUGGGAAUAACAGUUGGAAACGACUGCUAAUACCGAAUGUGGCUCGUUGGUCGCAUGACUGACGGGCUAAAGAUUUAUCGCUGGAGGAUGAGCUCGCGUCCCAUUAGCUAGUUGGUGAGGUAACGGCCCACCAAGGCGACGAUGGGUAGCUGGUCUGAGAGGAUGGUCAGCCACACUGGGACUGAGACACUGCCCAGACUCCUACGGGAGGCUGCAGUCGAGAAUCUUGGGCAAUGCGCGAAAGCGUGACCCAGCCAAUGCCGCGUGCGGGAUGAAGGUCUUCGGAUUGUAAACCGCUGUCAACCGGGACGAACACAAUGACUGUACCGGUGAAGGAAGCCACGGCUAACUACGUGCCAGCAGCAGC
rnacentral:rRNA from 1 species